GCAGCUGCAGCAACCGCAGCAGCAGCAGCAACAACAGCAGCAGCAGCAGCAACAGCAACAGCAGCAACAACAGCAGCAGCAACAGCAACAACAGCA
rnacentral:miRNA from 1 species